UACGGGGGGGCAAGCGGUUGUUCGGAAUUACUGGGCGUAAAGGGCGCGUAGGCGGCCCUCUAAGUCAGACGUGAAAUCCCACGGCCUCGAACCGUGGAACUGCGUCUGAUACUGGAGGGCUUGAAUCCGGGAGAGGGAUGUGGAAUUCCAGGUGUAGCGGUGAAAUGCGUAGAUAUCUGGAGGAACACCGGUGGCGAAGGCGGCAUCCUGGACCGGUAUUGACGCUGAGGCGCGAAAGCUAGGGGAGCAAACGGG
rnacentral:rRNA from 1 species